rnacentral:rRNA from 1 species
UACGAAGGGUGCAAGCGUUACUCGGAAUUACUGGGCGUAAAGCGUGCGUAGGUGGUUCGUUAAGUCCGAUGUGAAAGCCCUGGGCUCAACCUGGGAAUGGCAUUGGAUACUGGCGGGCUAGAGUGCGGUAGAGGAUGGCGGAAUUCCCGGUGUAGCAGUGAAAUGCGUAGAGAUCGGGAGGAACAUCCGUGGCGAAAGCACCUGCCUGGGCUUCUAUUGACGCUAAGACUCGAAAGCUGGGGGAGCAAACAGG